GUCUGACCCACUGGAAACAGUGAGGGUUAAUUGAAUACAUAGGGAGCAAGCGUUAUCCGGAAUGAUUGGGCGUAAAGCGUCUGUAGGUGGUUUAAAAAGUCGACUGUCAAAUACGUUGGCUCAACCAACGGCAGGCAGUAGAGUACUAUUAGACUAGAGUUAGGUAGAGGUAGAG
rnacentral:rRNA from 1 species